rnacentral:rRNA from 1 species
UACGUAGGGGGCGAGCGUUGUCCGGAUUUAUUGGGCGUAAAGGGCGCGCAGGCGGCGCUUCAAGUCCGUUGUGAAAUUUCAGGGGCUUAACCCUGACGGGUCAACGGAAACUGAAGGGCUAGAGUGCAGCAGAGGAAAGCGGAAAUUCCCGGUGUAGGUGGUGAAAGUGCGUAGAUAUCGGGAAGGAACACCAGAGGCGAAAAGCGGCUUUCUGGGGACUGUA